CUGAAAACCUACAAUUAUUGAAAAAUCAUUUGAAAACCCUGUGUUACUUAAGUCAUUGUGGAAUGUGAGAUGGUAGAGUAUGAGUUUCUUAUUCUUGAUAUCAUCGUUGCUUGGAGAAUUUAUUUUAAAAUCUUCAAAAUUCUAGCUACCAUCCUCAGUGUUUUAUAUGCUUGAUAAACCUGAAAAUACUAACAUGAUAAUUAUAAAAGCUAUCUACUCUGUAUUGAGUUUGUUCAAAAUGAGAUAGACCCUUGUUGAGAGAUUUAUCAUGCUCCUAAGAUCAAGACAUUUAUUCAGAAAGAUUCACUCUUCCGAAGUAUUAUUGCAUUAGAGGCAUGGGCUAUGCAAAAAUAAGGAUAUUUCGAGGAAAUAAAAAGGAGCAAGUGCUCGAUAACCUCGCAGAAAAAAUGGACAAGUGUCCGGCAGUAGAAUUAGAGGUACCUCGGUAUCCACCUGAAAAAAAAGAAAAGAAAGAAAAUGAUAGCCCAUGGUCCCUCUAAUAAGCAAUAUGCCAGUAAGAGUUGACAAGUUUUUAAUUUCCAAAGUCUUUGAUCUAAGAGUAUGGCAUUUUUCUCCUCGGAUCCCGUUUUGAUCAGGCAAUAAAUGCAAGGUAAGUAUGCUUGAGAAUUUUUACAAAUUAAAACAGCCUCAGUGAGAUAUAUAAAAGAUAAAUGAGUGAUCUGAGAGAACCUAUGAGGAUAAAAGUAUGCUAAAUUUCUUUUCAAAAAUAUAAAAAACUCCAAGUAACAGGAUUGAAAGGAAGAAAGAAUCUCUACUCUUGAUCAUAUAUUUCCCUACCUAACUACGGUAUACAGUGAAUUUUUAUAACACCCUGCAGGUAUGAAGAGAAUGCUUUACAAUGUUUUAACCCUAGAUAUUUUUCUU
rnacentral:lncRNA from 1 species